UAGGGAAUCUUCGGCAAUGGGGGGAACCCUGACCGAGCAACGCCGCGUGAGUGAAGAAGGUUUUCGGAUCGUAAAGCUCUGUUGUUAAGGAAGAACGAGUGUGAGAAUGGAAAGUUCAUACUGUGACGGUACUUAACCAGAAAGGGACGGCUAACUACGUGCCAGCAGCCGCGGUAAUACGUAGGUCCCGAGCGUUGUCCGGAUUUAUUGGGCGUAAAGCGAGCGCAGGCGGUUAGAUAAGUCUGAAGUUAAAGGCAGUGGCUCAACCAUUGUAGGCUUUGGAAACUGUUUAACUUGAGUGCAGAAGAGGAGAGUGGAAUUCCAUGUGUAGCGGUGAAAUGCGUAGAUAUAUGGAGGAACCCCAGUGGCGAAGGCGACUCUCUGGUCUGUAACUGACGCAGAGGCUCGAAAGCGUGGGUAGCAAACAGG
rnacentral:rRNA from 1 species